rnacentral:misc_RNA from 1 species
GAUGAAGAACGCAGCGAAAUGCGAUAAGUAAUGUGAAUUGCAGAAUUCUGUGAAUCAUCGAAUCUUUGAACGCAUCUUGCGCUCCUUGGUAUUCUGAGGAGCAUGCCUGUUUGAGUGUCAUUAAAUUCUCAACUACACUGACUUUGAAUUGGUGUGGCUUGGAUUUGGGGGGAAAAUUGUUGUGGGCUUUUUGUAUAGUCUGCUCCCCUGAAAUUGAUUAGCGGUACCUUUGUGGAACUGUCUACAGGUGUGAUAAUUAUCUACAUCUUAGACAUCUGCUGGAAUGCUGCUUUCUAAACCUUACUUGUAUUGACAAUCUUGACCUCAAAUCAGGUAGGACUACCCGCUGAACUUAAGCAUAUCAAUAAGCGGAGGA